CUUGCUCCCUGAUGUUAGCGGCGGACGGGUGAGUAACACGUGGGUAACCUGCCUGUAAGACUGGGAUAACUCCGGGAAACCGGGGCUAAUACCGGAUGGUUGUUUGAACCGCAUGGUUCAAACAUAAAAGGUGGCUUCGGCUACCACUUACAGAUGGACCCGCGGCGCAUUAGCUAGUUGGUGAGGUAACGGCUCACCAAGGCGACGAUGCGUAGCCGACCUGAGAGGGUGAUCGGCCACACUGGGACUGAGACACGGCCCAGACUCCUACGGGAGGCAGCAGUAGGGAAUCUUCCGCAAUGGACGAAAGUCUGACGGAGCAACGCCGCGUGAGUGAUGAAGGUUUUCGGAUCGUAAAGCUCUGUUGUUAGGGAAGAACAAGUACCGUUCGAAUAGGGCGGUACCUUGACGGUACCUAACCAGAAAGCCACGGCUAACUACGUGCCAGCAGCCGCGGUAAUACGUAGGUGGCAAGCGUUGUCCGGAAUUAUUGGGCGUAAAGGGCUCGCAGGCGGUUUCUUAAGUCUGAUGUGAAAGCCCCCGGCUCAACCGGGGAGGGUCAUUGGAAACUGGGGAACUUGAGUGCAGAAGAGGAGAGUGGAAUUCCACGUGUAGCGGUGAAAUGCGUAGAGAUGUGGAGGAACACCAGUGGCGAAGGCGACUCUCUGGUCUGUAACUGACGCUGAGGAGCGAAAGCGUGGGGAGCGAACAGGAUUAGAUACCCUGGUAGUCCACGCCGUAAACGAUGAGUGCUAAGUGUUAGGGGGUUUCCGCCCCUUAGUGCUGCAGCUAACGCAUUAAGCACUCCGCCUGGGGAGUACGGUCGCAAG
rnacentral:rRNA from 1 species